UUGUCUCGGCUGGACACAGUGGUCAAGUUGCAUCGGGGGGCUGGACCUCUCUAUAGACAUGAGAUGUUGUAGGAUAAAGGUGGGGUUGGGCACCAAUAACUGUUAGAUGAGGACCCAAUGACGACUUUAUUCCUACGGUUAUACGGUGGGUCUGACUUAACUAAGCGAUGAGACCAAUAACUGUUAGGUGAGGUUUUCAUGGCUUAGAGACCAAGUUACACUGCACCAUGCUUGAGAAGCAUUGCACAAGAGUUGUACACUCAUCCAUCUAUGUGUCACCAAUAACUGUUAGGUGAGGUGGCAUGUAAAUCGGUGGGACCGCAGUACCCACUAGAAACCCUAGUCGUGUGGGAUUUCCGUUUUCCUACCAGGGGAGUGUGAGGGAUUCGAGAAAAUAGUGGGAGUUACAUUUGUUCUAAAAGACCUUAGAACAGAUUAGGAUCAAGUACAAAAGUCUAACUAGAAU
rnacentral:lncRNA from 1 species